UGGGGAAUCUUCCGCAAUGGACGAAAGUCUGACGGAGCAACGCCGCGUGUAUGAUGAAGGUCUUCGGAUUGUAAAGUACUGUCAUUGGGGAAGAACGGUUUUCUUGAAAAGAUUGAGAAGACAUGACGGUACCCAAGGAGGAAGCCCCGGCUAACUACGUGCCAGCAGCCGCGGUAAUACGUAGGGGGCAAGCGUUGUCCGGAAUUAUUGGGCGUAAAGGGCGCGUAGGCGGGCUUUUAAGUCCGGUGUGAAAGAUCAGGGCUCAACCCUGAGAGUGCAUCGGAAACUGGAGGCCUUGAGGACAGGAGAGGAAAGUGGAAUUCCACGUGUAGCGGUGAAAUGCGUAGAUAUGUGGAGGAACACCAGUGGCGAAGGCGACUUUCUGGACUGUAACUGACGCUGAGGCGCGAAAAGCGUGGGGAGCAAAACAGGAUUAGAUACCCUGGUAGUCCACGCCGUAAACGAUGAGUGCUGGGUGUAGAGGGUAUCGACCCCUUCUGUGCCGCAGUUAACACAAUAAGCACUCCCGCCUGGGGAGUACGGCCGCAAGGUUUG
rnacentral:rRNA from 1 species